rnacentral:misc_RNA from 1 species
UAUCCGUAGGUGAACCUGCGGAAGGUUCAUUAUUGAAUGAACUUGGCGGGGUUGUCGCUGGCCCUCUAGGAGGUAUGUGCACGCCCGUCAUCUUUAUCUCUCCACCUGUGCCCACUUUGUAGACUUUGAUAGUACCUUCCGAGGCAGCUCGGUCGAGAGGAUUUGCUGUUCUUUAAUGUCAGCUCUCCUUGCAUUAUCCAGGCCUAUGUUUUCAUAUACCCCAAAGAAUGUAACAGAAUGUAUUAUUGGGCCUUGUGCCUAUAAACUAUAUACAACUUUCAGCAACGGAUCUCUUGGCUCUC